GAUGAACGCUGGCGGCGUGCUUAACACAUGCAAGUCGAACGGUGAAGCAGGAGCUUGCUCUUGUGGAUCAGUGGCGAACGGGUGAGUAACACGUGAGCAACCUGCCCCUGACUCUGGGAUAAGCGCUGGAAACGGCGUCUAAUACUGGAUAUGUGAUGUGACCGCAUGGUCUGCAUCUGGAAAGAAUUUCGGUUGGGGAUGGGCUCGCGGCCUAUCAGCUUGUUGGUGAGGUAAUGGCUCACCAAGGCGUCGACGGGUAGCCGGCCUGAGAGGGUGACCGGCCACACUGGGACUGAGACACGGCCCAGACUCCUACGGGAGGCAGCAGUGGGGAAUAUUGCACAAUGGGCGGAAGCCUGAUGCAGCAACGCCGCGUGAGGGAUGACGGCCUUCGGGUUGUAAAGCUCUUUUACCCGGGAUGAUAAUGACAGUACCGGGAGAAUAAGCUCCGGCUAACUCCGUGCCAGCAGCCGCGGUAA
rnacentral:rRNA from 1 species